rnacentral:lncRNA from 1 species
CUCCUCCAGCCUCAUCUCCCUCGAUCUUCUUGAUUUGGAUCUCGGGAGCAGACAUGGGAGGGAGGCGAUGUGCCGGCGAGGCCUCUGGGACCGUGUGGCGGGCGUGAGCCCCCCACCCUCGUCCACGACGAUGAGGACUGGUUCGCGUUUUGCCUCCAGUUCCAACUCAUGGUCACGCUGGAUAUGCCCCAUGACACCGUUUGCGUCAAUCUGAAGGUUAGGGAGGACAGGGACGAGGUGCGGGCACAAAUGCAGGUCCUCUCUCUCUCGGUUGGAUCAGAAACUUCUCAAUUUUACACGCAGAAUCGACCUGAUGGUUUCUUCUAAAUGUUUAUUAAAACCUAAGAAGCUUUCUUUGUUUUGUCAUAAUCAGGUGUUGAAUGAUUCUCAAUAUCGAUCAACAAUCUAGUAGGUGGCACAUAUGGGUCCCUCACCAUGCUGUUGACACGAUGGCCCUACCGAAUCAAGGACGAGCCAUGAGAUAACAUAGCCGGCGGCUCUCGUCACGCACACCGGUUGGUCCUGCUCCGGCGAGCCGCCGCCACCGUGCCUGUUUAGAUCUCACUAUUUAGUUUAUAGGUGACCCGUGCCUCCUUUUAUCUCCCUUGCAUUAUUGAUGUGGGUAACUUCCACUCUAGUCCUAACCUUCUCUUUUGGUUUUCCGGUAGGUUCUUUGUCGGGCAGUGUAGAACUGAAAUAGUUGAAGAGAACAUCAUGAGGCGAUGCUAGAAGCUUGCUUGUGUGCUAGCCGUUGUUGUGAUUUUAAGAAAUUUACAAGUUCACUCAAUGGAAAAAAGAGGGACUAUGGUGAGAGGUGACUAAAUCUACAAUGUUGAAUCCCUUUACCAUUAGUACUCCCUCCAUUUUUAUAUACAAGGCCACAAACCCACAUUACACGUACCAACGCAAAAGUUAAUGCCUUCCAAGUCAACGUUGCAAGACAACUUGUCUCCUUGUUUACCGUGUAAAUUAAUGUGUAUUUCUCUGUCUCAUGCAUAUCAAGCCAAUGAUCUCACUCCUGCAUGCAUGCAAGGGAUAAUUAAUGUCCUGCUUUGCUAGUACUACGAGGCAAACACCAUUAAUGUUGCAUCAAUUAGUGUUAGUGGCCUUGUAUAUAUGCAAAUUGUAAUUUUUAUAGUGGCCUUGCAUAUAAAAAUGGAGGGAGUAGUUUAAAUAGCAACCAAAAUUUCUUUUCAUGAGACGGUGAUUAAUUAGUCUAAAGUUGUUCUACAUAUUAGUAAAAUGUUGUAUUUGCACUAGAAAGUUCAAUUUCUUUGCUAAACCAUGGACCGGUCAAUGUUGAAUUAGCUGAGAAUGUUUUUGAAGUUCGUUGAAUCACUUGUGUGAAUAUUUAUACCAACUAUGAGUGUUUCAUAAUCGUGGGAAUUUCUUUACCAUCUUUCAAGUACAUCGAAAUCUCCUAGGAUGGCAAACAAGAAGUCGACCAAAAUAUCCGGCAACGGUGGUGAGCAUAGUGGUGACAUGUGAUUUCCAUGCCUAUUUGUCGGCUCUACAAAAUGCACAUUUGAUUUCUCCAUAUUCAUUUGUUGAUUUCUACUUUCAUGAGAAGUUGAGAACUACUUGAGGCAGAGUAUUUACAUCCUCAAUUUCAUCCUUCACUCCUUGUAGGUGUACUUACCCUUCUCUUGCUGCUGUUGCAUCUAGAUAUGCAAUCUAUGCUAGCUUUGUGGAAGUGGAGAUGGAAAGGACGUUGUCAUUAGUCAAGUCAUGUGAGCGGGGAAGGGGCCAAAAAAGCGAAGCUAAAAACAGCUAACAGGCCCAUCAGAAUAUUGUAAGGAUGAAACUUUUCAUCCUUGCACAUCAUGUGAUAAUUGAAUACUAUAAUCACAUGACCUAUUUACUCGUUAUGAUCUCAUAUACAUAUUUUUGGGACAUUUUUUGUUCCUUUUCUUUCUUCACGGGCCAUCUUUAGUGCUUUUCCAGUUAAUGGUAUCUUUGGGCCGAAAUAUAAUAGUUGCUAAUGCCUUUGGAUCGUUUACUUUGUUGGUUUUAUGAUUCUUGGAGGAUUCAUCACAACUAAAGGUUGAUUCGUCAGAAAUAUUUUCAGCUACUUGAGGUUACAUUUUGAACCGAUACAUCUAACAUAUUGCAACCUUUUUCUGACUAUUUAAAAGAAAGCUCAGUCUGUUGGUUUUGGUGUUAUGGGAUCUCUCCUAUUAUAUAUGCACAAAAUGCUAUAUCAGUAUAUGAAUUCCAUGGGCAUUCUUGGUCCAAGGUGAACUUGAUUUUAAUAAUUCUCCGAAGAAGUUGUGCACUUUUCAUUUUGUCUCAACCAAUGUCGCUUUCAUCUUAAUCAUAGACAUGCGAGCCUAAUUUUUCUUGCAUAUUUUACUUGGUGGCUAACUCAAACUUAUUUGUUGUCAUUUUUGUAUUCAUCAUCACGAACAAGACCAGAUCACUGGAGUAGUCUCUGUCAAAACAUAUAACAAAUAAUAAGCCCUAUCACUACCUCUAGAGAACAAACAAGAGUUAAAUGAUGUAGAUUAUGAAUGAUGAACUCGUAAUGGGCGUGGAGGGCAGGUCUGCAAGGUGUUUUGGUAACCCUUUCUUGGUGUGAACAAUAUGGUCUGGUAUUGUUGUUAGUUGUCAAUCAAUCCAGGAUUUGACCUUGUUUGCAAAUUCAAGUGUUUUAUUAGAAGGAUGACGCAAAUCCAACACAAGGAACAUGUUAAUAUGCAUACUAUUGUUCUUCCUGAGUCAUUUGUGCAACAUAUAUUUUUCACCAUAGUAAUUGAAAUUUGACUCGUGUGUAGGUUGAUUUUGGUGUGUUCGAAGUUCUACAACUAUCAAAGGCUGCUCGUUCUGAAAGUUAUUCAGAAACAUGCACGCUGUGACCAACUUUUUUUUCAGAUAUCUCUAUUUUUCAAUGGUUUGUGCUGAUUCACAAAGGUGCAAUGAAAUUAUCUAAAAUCAUUUUAUUUUGGCUUCCCAUUGACUACUUUGAAGAGUGGGGCAUCCUGAUGUUUUCCUUUGACGUGCACAGUAUCCCUAUGUUUUUACACUACCAUUUUUUCAUUCUUUUUUAGUGUAUAUGAUGCACUUCUUUUGUCUAAGUUAACUCUUCAUUCUUCUCCUAUGCUCUUCCAGAUUGAUUACUCUUUAGACACUGAAUUAAAUGUUUCACAUUUUAUUGGAGAAUCAUAUAUCUAUGCUAGAUUAUAAUAUUUAGUUCAGAAUUGUGUAUCCACCUUUUUACUGAAUUUUACAAAUGUUUUUUGCUUGUUUAGUUUACCCAGCAUUAGGGCUCUCUCACAUUUUUGUCCUGAUUUUUAUAAAUAUCUGCUGGGGAUUCAUAUUUUUUCGUUAUUUCUUCCAUUUGUUUUGAAAGAGAAUAUCAGUUUUGAAUAGUCAUUAUCUUUGACCAUUAUAUUGUGAGUCGAUACAAUAAUUUCUCAUUUCAGGUCCACUCCCUCCUCGAAGAAUAUCUGAUUCAUUAUUCGUUUCGUGAAUUCUUUAUUCCAGCUCCUGCGGAGGAGGAUUAUGCACCCUUAUUAUCAUUGCGAAGAAGGCAAUAGAAGGCUAUGGAUUUUCUAGGGUGGGCACAUUUGCUGUCUGGUCUUCUGAUGCAACACUGUGAUUCACCUUUUGCUCUCUGGUUCUUGAAUUUUGGCUUUUGGCUGCUCGUGUAGUAUCGUCCUAAAUAAGUAGAUGAGUUCGAUCCAUCGUGUCCAUUUGUCCUUUGGGUAAAUAAAUGAAGAAAACUACAAAAAUAUAUAUUUUGUGCUGUGUGAUUUAUCUUGUAAGACUGUUACCUUUCUAUUAAGACACAUAUUACCUUGCUUUGCUUGCUCUGCUUUCUGAGUGAAUGCUCUGCUGCUGGUGCAGUUUAAUUAUGUCUAAUUUUUUAGAACUGGCAUUUAUUUAGACUGUAUAUACAUGUUUACAAAUUUAUCAGCUAGAUUAGUGUGUCGAGUCACGCAAAGGAGACGUGCCCUGGGUGCGUCCCUGUCACUAGUAUCUUAUUUUUUAUUUUUAUUUUUAUUUAUAAAGUUUACACUUGGUGGUCGUCCGUUCACUCCUAUGUACCACCUCUUUCUCUCAGCUCUGUCAAGCGAACCACGCGUAAGAACCUAC